CUCUCUCUUGUGCUUGAAUUUUAUGUACGUUAGUUACUCUUUUUAUUUACUUUUUCUUUUGUAGGUUUUACAAAGUGGAAUCUUGAAAGAGAUGAAUUAGAUGAAUUGCAUAAUAUGGUUCUUUGCGUUGAAUCAUAUUGUUGUGGAUGUUAAGGUAAUAUUCAAUUCUAGUUUUCUAUGUUAAGGACCAUGUGGUUGGAAAAAUAGCACUUUUUCAUCUUCAUCAGAAGUUCCAUGCAAAAAUAAGAGUCAAGAAGAGAAGUCUUAGAGUGGGAAGGCUCGCCAUAGAGAUUCCAAUUGCUGCUUCGUAUGAAGGCUCGCCAAGUGACCAUCAAUCAAUCAAUGUUCUUGUAGUCACUAGUCACCAUUAGAGUUUAUUCAUAGUAUGUAGUUAGCAAUCUUAGCAUGAUAGGAGAAUUUUGUAUUUCUUGAGAAACAUUAUUUAAUGGUGUUAUGAGAUUUAUAAAAAUAUAGUUUGUCG